rnacentral:rRNA from 1 species
UACGUAGGGGGCAAGCGUUGUCCGGAAUCAUUGGGCGUAAAGAGCGUGUAGGCGGUUCGGUAAGUCGGCUGUGAAAGUCCAGGGCUCAACCCUGGGAUGCCGGUCGAUACUGCCGGACUAGAGUUCGGAAGAGGCGAGUGGAAUUCCCGGUGUAGCGGUGAAAUGCGCAGAUAUCGGGAGGAACACCUAUGGCGAAGGCAGCUCGCUGGGACGUUACUGACGCUGAGGAACGAAAGCUAGGGGAGCGAAUGGG